rnacentral:rRNA from 1 species
AGAGUUUGAUCAUGGCUCAGAAUCAACGCUGGCGGCGUGCCUAACACAUGCAAGUCGAACGAGAAAGCUGGUAGCAAUACUGGUGAGUAAAGUGGCGACCGGGUGAGUAACACGUGGACAACCUACCUUUGAGUGGGGAAUAACCCUGGGAAACCGGGGCUAAUACCGCAUAACAUUCCAUGACGAUGGUUGUGGAAUUGAAACCCGCAAGGGGCUCGUUGAGGGAUCCGCGGCUGAUUAGCUAGUUGGUGAGGUAACGGCCCACCAAGGCUUUGAUCGGUAGCCGGCCUGAGAGGGCGGACGGCCACACUGGAACUGAAACACGGUUCAGACUCCUACGGGAGGCAGCAGUGGGGAAUUUUGCGCAAUGGGGGAAACCCUGACGCAGCAACGCCGCGUGGAUGAUGAAGACCCUUGGGUUGUAAAAUCCUUUCGGCAGGGACGAAUUAAUUGACGGUACCUGAAGAAGAAGCCCCGGCUAACUCCGUGCCAGCAGCCGCGGUAAUACGGGGGGGGCGAGCGUUGUUCGGAAUUAUUAGGCGUAAAGGGCGCGUAGGCGGUGUGGUAAGUCUGAUGUGAAACCUCCAGGCUCAACUUGGAGCUGGCAUCAGAAACUGCCGUGCUAGAGUGUGGGAGAGGAGAGUGGAAUUCCUGGUGUAGCGGUGAAAUGCGUAGAUAUCAGGAGGAACACCGGUGGCGAAAGCGGCUCUCUGGACCACAACUGACGCUGAGGCGCGAAAGCUAGGGGAGCAAACAGGAUUAGAUACCCUAGUAGUCC